UUGGUUAUCUAGCUGUAUGAGUGUUGUGGAGCCAUCAUAAAGCUAGAUAACCGAAAGUAGAAAUGACUUCCAAACCUGCUCGCCCCCGGGGAAGAGGCUGCAGCAGGACCGGCGCCGCUGGAGCCCGGAGCAGAGGCGAGUCGCGGCCCCGCCACCUCGGGGCUCCAGGGCCGGCAAAGCGUCGCCAUAACCGCAGUAAGGAGAAAGGAUCUCAGCCUGAAUUGGGCUAUACCGCGAGAAAGAAAAGUUCUGAGGAGCUGUUGGUAUUAUGUAUUCUAAUGAGGAGUCAUUGGAGAAAUUAAAAAGGGCAGAGAGAGACGACGACGGCAGCACUAAUUCCGCAGGAAGCCUCCCAGGGAAAAGGCUGUGUGAGUGUGAACGCUGAAAAGCAUGAAGGCCUGGAAUUAGACUAUCAUUUAGAGAGCGUUACUAAUCCGAAGUUACAGCAGUAAUUCCAUGAUUUGCUGGGUCCCACACGCAGCGCCAGAAUUAAAGAUACGGAUUUUCUAGAAAUGUAACUCAACUGUGGCACCGAGUCUCGGCGAGAUCCAAAUGAAUCAUUCAUUCCAAAGGCAGCGAAAGACGUGUCAUUAAGAACCAACCUCCUUCUCUCCAGCCCAUCUGGAAUAUGUAUGCUCAAUGCAAUCCCAGAAAUUGUGGAAGAGAUCGGAGGUGGGGAGGAGGGAAUGUAGUGCUUUCCCUCCUUUAUCAUGGCGGUUAUUUUUAAGAAAUAAUUUUCAAAUUAUUUCCACAAUAUUGUGAGUGGCACUCGAUUUGAUUCUUCUUCUAUUUAUUUUUUUUUUCCCCCUUCCGUAUGAUAGCAUCGAGUCAGGUGCAAACGGUUUCGGUGGAGAUGCUUUAAAACUAGAGCGAACAAAGCAGGAGAGAACCGAGCAAGGUGGUUGAUGAAUGCAUUUAUUCCGGAGUAAUGAUUUGAUGGGGGAUGGAGGAAAGAAACAUUCAAAUUCCUAAUGAAUAUAAUUCAGGAGGAAUCACUCGACCAGCGUGGUAGAGAAAAUCUGUUUGGUGGGAGUGUUUCUGCGCUGGCAGAGCCCAGGAGGUAUUUCUGUCCCUGGCUUUUGUAAUUGCAAAAGGUGAAAAUUUAAAAAGAGGAUUGGAGGA
rnacentral:lncRNA from 1 species